rnacentral:rRNA from 1 species
GGUGAACGCUGGCGGCGUGCCUAAUACAUGCAAGUCGAGCGAACGGACGAUAAGCGUGCUUCUCUAAUGUUAGCGGCUGACGGGUGAGUAAGACGUGGAUAACCUACCUAUAAUACUUGGAGAACUUCGGGAAACCGCAGCUAAUACCGGCUAAUAUUUUGAACGGCAUGGUUCAAAAGUGAAAGACGGUCUUGCUGUCACUUAUAGAUGGAGCCGCGCUGCAUUAGCUAGUUGGUAAGGUAACGGCUUACCAAGGCAACGAUGCAUAGCCGACCUGAGAGGGUGAUCGGCCACACUGGAACUGAGACACGGUCCAGACUCCUACGGGAGGCAGCAGUAGGGAAUCUUCCGCAAUGGGCGAAAGCCUGACGGAGCCACGCCGCGUGAGUGAUGAAGGUCUUCGGAUCGUAAAACUCUGUUAUUAGGGAAGAACAUCUGUGUAAGUAACUGUGCACAUCUUGACGGUACCUAAUCAGAAAGCCACGGCUAACUACGUG